rnacentral:rRNA from 1 species
UACGUAGGUGGCGAGCGUUGUCCGGAUUUACUGGGCGUAAAGGGCGUGCAGGCGGUUUGUUAAGUGCAGGGUGAAAGCUCCCGGCUCAACUGGGAGAGGUCCUUGCAUACUGGCGAUCUCGAGUCCGGGAGAGGUGAGUGGAACUGCGAGUGUAGAGGUGAAAUUCGUAGAUAUUCGCAAGAACACCAGUGGCGAAGGCGGCUCACUGGCCCGGUACUGACGCUGAGGUGCGAAAGCGUGGGAGCAACAGGG